CGAAGGGGGCUAGCGUUGUUCGGAAUUACUGGGCGUAAAGGGCGCGUAGGCGGCCGUUUAAGUUAGGUGUGAAAGUCCUGGGCUCAACCUGGGGACUGCACUUAAUACUGGAUGGCUUGAAUUCGGGAGAGGAUAGCGGAAUUCCCAGUGUAGAGGUGAAAUUCGUAGAUAUUGGGAAGAACACCGGUGGCGAAGGCGGCUAUCUGGACCGACAUUGACGCUGAGGCGCGAAAGCGUGGGGAGCAAACAGGAUUAGAUACCCUGGUAGUCCACGCCGUAAACGAUGAGUGCUAGACGUUGGGGAGCUUAGCUCUUCAGUGUCGCAGCUAACGCAUUAAGCACUCCGCCUGGGGAGUACGGCCGCAAGGUUA
rnacentral:rRNA from 1 species